UACGUCGGGGGCUAGCGUUGUCCGGAAUCAUUGGGCGUAAAGAGCGUGUAGGCGGCCCGGUAAGUCCGCUGUAAAAGUCAAAGGCUCAACCUUUGAAUGUCAGUGGAUACUGCCGGGCUAGAGUCCGGAAGAGGCGAGUGGAACUCCUGGUGUAGCGGUGGAAUGCGCAGAUAUCAGGAAGAACACCAACGGCGAAGGCAGCUCGCUGGGACGGUACUGACGCUGAGACGCGAAAGCGUGGGGAGCGAACAGG
rnacentral:rRNA from 1 species